GUCUGCACCAAACAACAAAGUUUUGCCCAGAGGUAUAGAGAGUCUUCCAAGAAAAGUAUUAACAAGCAAGUAUCGUACAAAUGCCGGGCUACUGGUAAUCAAGGUCAGUUUUGGAAUGUUUACAAAACCUGCUACAAGAAUCACAGCUGCAAGAUUCCGACCACGAGGAGGACAUUGAUGUUGAAAUAGAAGUUUAUAUUAACUCUAGUUAAAAUCAUAAAUUGAAUAGACAAAACGAACACGACAUUUAUAUAUUGAGAUUCGUUACUGUUUGUUAGUAAAAAGAUAGAAUAUAAAGUACGGUAUGUAGUACUGAAUAAAGUGUUUUUUAAUAAACGCCGCCCCCGAAUGCACUUGCAUUUGGCUGCCUUACAACCCU
rnacentral:misc_RNA from 1 species